rnacentral:rRNA from 2 species
UGGGGACUUUUGGACAAUGGGGGAAACCCUGAUCCAGCCAUGCCGCGUGAGUGAAGAAGGCCUUCGGGUUGUAAAGCUCUUUCAGCCUGAACGAAACGGUCACGGUUAAUACCCGUGACUACUGACGGUACCGGAAGAAGAAGCACCGGCUAACUACGUGCCAGCAGCCGCGGUAAUACGUAGGGUGCAAGCGUUAAUCGGAAUUACUGGGCGUAAAGCGUGCGCAGGCGGUUUUGUAA